rnacentral:sRNA from 1 species
GUAAGAGUUACGUUCAAGUUUAUUUCUAGGAUAUGGAGACUUUGAUGAUUUUAAUCUGGAGCAUGCGCUGAAAGAAACUUCCUCAGUAAAGCGUGACUCAAACAAACAAGUCCACCAAGCAAGCACAAGUGGUCGGCCGUGCACCACACCGACAAUCUUGCCUUCAGAAAAGUACAGGCAUAUGACACUAGCUGUUCCUCCAUCCACCUGUUCGUUCUGUUGUGCAGGCUUGUGUCAUCUCAUCAUACGUGUGUCAUCUUCCUUUUUCAUUUACUUUAUGUCGAGCCCACGAGAGAACGUUCAUCUGCCUUACCCUUUUUUCUGCUGUACAAAAAGAGAGCUCCGACCAGUUUCAUUCCUCUCGCUGUUUUGUUUUGAGACAGGGUCUCUUGAUUUAGCCAGGGUUAUCCUGAAAUUCUCUGUGCUGACAAGACCGCCUUUGACUUGGGUCCAGUGCUAGAGCAACAGUGACUCUUGGGCACUGAUGUGCAUUUCUAGCUUCAGAACCCAUGACUUUUUAUGAUGCUUCAGUGUGAUCCCCUCAAUGGCCUCGGGGACCGAUACCGAGACCCUUCUCAGGAUGUGACUUCUGUAAACCAUUAAGCAGCCGCUGUGUUUUACAAUCUGCUUCCUUUUUCCUCCUUUCUCUCUUCAGAGAGCCACUUUAGCACCACGACUAGAAGGACAGGAACAACCAGAGCCCCAUCAAAUCCAGCAGGUAACGAGGUGUGGGAAGUGAGGAAGGCCAGACUCACCUGAGAAGGGACUCAAGGAGUGACUUGUUGGAACUCCAUCUGGGACAGGGUCAAAAGGAGCCUUGUAGAGUUUUUAGCUGCACAUAUGAAAAGUUAGCAAAGGCACCCAUGUGUAUGUUAGAUUUAAUUCAACAGAAUCCCAUCUGGUUGGUCACUGUGCCUUACUUGAAAGCCAUGCAUUUCCACUUCCCUAUUGCUUUGGGUGAUGAUGGCUGCCAGAAUCCAGGUACAGUAGGCAGAAGGCGUGAGCUGGACUUGACUGAAGCCCCAGACUAUCCCCAUAGCUCCCAGGUUAAACAUGAGUCAUGGAUAGUCAAGCAGAGUGGGGCAACCUGAGGCCUAAGGAGAAGUCUUCAACGAAGAUAUUCAGACGUUUUCUUGAAAUUCUCUAAGUUUUUGAAGAUCUCGGGAGAGUUUGUGUAUGUGGGUCAUUCUAUAAAUACUUCUCAUCUGAGAUCUUAGAACUAAAAACUGAUAUUAAUCUGAGGAAAAUAAAAAGCUAUAUGCAUUCA